rnacentral:lncRNA from 1 species
GCACGCUCGGGGCCACUCCGCGCGCAAGGCUCGGGUCCGGGAGAAAUUCCCCCCCCCCACCCCCCGUCGAGUGGUCAGAGUGCGGGUCCCCAGGUCGUGCACACCACCCGGGCCGGCGACCCCAGCCAGGAGCAGGGGAGCGCCGCAGGGCGGAGGCCGCUGCCACGGAACCAGGCGGGCGGCGCACAGCCCCGGGGAGCUGGUUUUCCCGAGAGGGCACGUGACGGGGUUGGCAGCGCUCGGGCCCGGGCGGGGGGAGGGGGAAGUGGCGAGCAGGAGGCCCGGGGGCGGGCGGCUGGCGCGCUGUGUACUUAGGUCGUGUGCUGGGGCUUUUCUCUCCUGGGAGCGGGCCGAGGGGCGGGGGAGGGGCCACCGCUCCGCCUUCUUCUUUUCGCAAUGUUGACGCAAUCUAUAAAUAGUGGAACAAAAGGACCAACUUCCUCGGAGCUUUGCUGAAACUGCACAAAAAAUCGAGCUGGGGGGUUCCCUGGUCCCCGAUGUUGGGGCGGAGAGCGCGGCGCCGAGGGAGGGGGCGGCGCAGACCGGCCUAGGGGACACCUGGUCGAGCGCAGCCGCCGCUCCGCUCGAGCCCUGCGCUCCAGUGCCCCCACUGGCUGGAGAGCUCGCCCAGACCGGGGGUCUUCCUCCGUCGCUGACAGC